AUGGCGGACGCGGUGGAUGCCCGUCGGGUCUGCGGGAUGCCGGAGAAGGCGCAGCUCCACGUGGCGAUGCUGGCGCUGCAGUUCGGCUACGCCGGCUUCCACGUCGUGUCGCGCCUCGCGCUCAACAUGGGCAUCAGCAAGCUCGUCUUCCCCGUCUACCGCAACAUCAUCGCGCUCUUCCUCCUCGUCCCCUUCGCCUACUUCCUCGAGAAGAAGGACCGGCCGAGGCUCACCCUCAGCUUCGCCGUCCAGUUCUUCUUCCUCGCCCUCUGCGGCAUCACCGCCAACCAGGGCUUCUACCUGCUCGGCCUCGACAACACCUCCCCCACCUUCGCCUCCGCCAUCCAGAACUCCGUGCCGGCCAUCACCUUCGGCAUGGCCGCCGCGCUCCGCAUCGAGAAGGUGCGGCUCGACCGCCGCGACGGCGUCGCCAAGGUGCUGGGCACGCUCGCGUGCGUCGCCGGCGCGUCCGUCAUCACGCUCUACCAGGGCCCAACCAUCUUCGCCCCUGCCGACGACAAGCCGUCGUUGCAGCAGGAGGUGCCGUUUCUGGCGGCCGUGGCUGGGGAGGGCAAGAACUGGACGCUGGGGUGCGUGUACCUCAUCGGCCACUGCCUCUCGUGGUCCGGCUGGCUGGUGCUGCAGGCGCCCGUGCUCAAGAAGUACCCCGCGAGGCUGUCCGUCACCUCCUACACCUGCUUCUUCGGCGUCAUCCAGUUCCUCAUCAUCGCCGCCUUCUUCGAGAGGGAUGCCGGCGCCUGGGUCUUCCACUCCGGCUCCGAAGUCUUCACCAUCCUCUACGCCGGCUUCAUCGCGUCCGGCGUGGCGUUCGCAGUGCAGAUCUGGUGCAUCGACCGCGGGGGCCCGGUGUUUGUGGCGGUGUACCAGCCCGUGCAGACGCUGGUCGUCGCCAUCAUGGCCUCCCUCACCCUCGGCGAGAAGUUCUACCUCGGCGGGAUCAUCGGCGCCGCGCUCAUCAUCACCGGCCUCUACCUCGUGCUCUGGGGCAAGAGCGAGGAGAGGUCGCGCAUCGGCAAGGAGGCGGCGGUCAUGGCCGCAGCUUCCUCCGGCAGUGGCGAGCGCGAGGUCCGGAGCGCCAAGCUGGCCUCCUCCAUCACCCAGCCUCUCCUCCCGCCUUCCGACAAUGUCUGA
rnacentral:rRNA from 1 species